rnacentral:rRNA from 1 species
GCCGGUGUUUAACCUGCGUGUGACCCACCUCUUCCCAUUCCGAACAGAGAAGUGAAAGCGCGUAGGCCUCAUGAUACUUGCGCCUUCGGGCGCGUGGAAAGUAGGGUAUGCCGGUA